GUCAUUUGAAUACGUAGAAGUACACAUCACCACAAAUCUGCCCACGUCUCUCUGUGCCCUGAUUUUCCAUCCGAUCAUCAGCUUCCAAGAGGUAAGCCCUCUCUCUCUCUCCAAUUCAAGCCCGUAUCUAUGUGUAUCUGUUUGAUAUGAUCAUAAUUUUGUUGCAGAUCUUUUUUUAUCUCAUCAGGUAAGAACUUAUUCGAUAUGAGAUCCGAUAUCUACAUAGAUACAUCACAUACGCUAAAAGAUACAAAUAUGCUUAUAUAUGUCAAAUUAGUUGCUGUUCUCUACGA
rnacentral:lncRNA from 1 species